rnacentral:rRNA from 1 species
UACGUAGGGUGCGAGCGUUAAUCGGAAUUACUGGGCGUAAAGCGUGCGCAGGCGGUUAUGUAAGACAGAUGUGAAAUGCCCGGGCUUAACCUGGGAACUGCAUUUGUGACUGCAUGGCUAGAGUUUGGCAGAGGGGGGUAGAAUUCCACGUGUAGCAGUGAAAUGCGUAGAUAUGUGGAGGAACACCGAUGGCGAAGGCAGCCCCCUGGGUCAAGACUGACGCUCAUGCACGAAAGCGUGGGAGC